UGAGUGCGAGCGGCUACGGCCGCGAAGUGGGUGAUGUCAAGCUUCCAAGAAAAGCCCUAUACCCGUUAAGGCAUGAUGGCUGUACCCGAAACCGACACAGGUGGGGUGGUAGAGAAUACCGAGGGGCGCGAGGUAACUCUCUCUAAGGAACUCGGCAAAAUGGCCCCGUAACUUCGGGAGAAGGGGUGCCACCGCAAGGUGGUCGCAGUGAAGAGGCCCAGGCGACUGUUUACCAAAAACACAGGUCUCCGCUAAGUCGCAAGACGAUGUAUGGGGGCUGACGCCUGCCCAGUGCCGGAAGGUUAAGGAAGCUGGUCAGCGCAAGCGAAGCUGGCGACUGAAGCCCCGGUGAACGGCGGCCGUAACAAUAACGGUCCUAAGGUAGCGAAAUUCCUAGUCGGGUAAGUUCCGACCCGCACGAAAGGCGUAACGAUCUGGGCGCUGUCUCGGAGAGAGGCUCGGCGAAAUAGAAUUGUCUGUGAAGAUGCGGACUACGUGCACCCGGACAGAAAGACCCUAUGAAGCUUUACUGUAGCUUGGUAUUGUGCCCGGGCUCUGAAUGCGCAGGAUAGGUGGGAGGCUUUGAUCCAUGGCUUGCGGGUCAUGGUGAGCCAACGGUGAGAUACCACUCUUUCAGAGCUAGGGUUCUAACGGUCACCCGUCAUCCGGGGACCGGACAGUAUCAGGUGGGCAGUUUGACUGGGGCGGUCGCCUCCUAAAAGGUAACGGAGGCGCGCAAAGGUUUGCUCAGGCUGGUUGGAAAUCAGCCGACGAGUGCAAAAGCAGAAGCAAGCUUGACUGUGAGACCUACAAGUCGAACAGGGACGAAAGUCGGCUUUAGUGAUCCGACGGUUCUGAGUGGAAGGGCCGUCGCUCAACGGAUAAAAGUUACUCUAAGGAUAACAGGCUGAUCUCCCCCAAGAGUUCACAUCGACGGGGAGGUUUGGCACCUCGAUGUCGGCUCAUCGCAACCUGGGGCUGAAGUCGGUCCCAAGGGUUGGGCUGUUCGCCCAUUAAAGCGGUACGCGAGCUGGGUUCAGAACGUCGUGAGACAGUUCGGUCCAUAUCCGGUGCACGCGCAGGAACAUUGAGAGGAUUUCUCCCUAGUACGAGAGGACCGGGAGGAACGCACCUCUGGUGUGCCAGUUAUCGUGCCAACGGUAAACGCUGGGUAGCCAUGUGCGGAGUGGAUAACCGCUGAAAGCAUCUAAGUGGGAAGCCCACCUCAAGAUGAGUGUUCCCAUGGCAUAAGCCAGUAAGGUCACGGGAAGAACACCCGUUGAUAGGCUCUACGUGGAAGCCGGGUAACCGGUGAAGCGGAGGAGUACUAAUAGACCGAGGGCUUGACC
rnacentral:rRNA from 1 species